AGAGCGAACGCUGGCGGCAUGCUUAACACAUGCAAGUCGCACGAUCGGGGGUAACUCCGGUAGUGGCGGACGGGUGAGUAACGCGUAGGUAUCUAUCCUUGGGUGGGGGACAACCACGGGAAACUGUGGCUAAUACCGCAUGACGACUGAGGUCCAAAGGCCGAAAGGUCGCCUGAGGAGGAGCCUGCGUCCGAUUAGCUUGUUGGUGGGGUAAUGGCCUACCAAGGCUGCGAUCGGUAGCUGGUCUGAGAGGAUGAUCAGCCACAUUGGGACUGAGACACGGCCCAAACUCCUACGGGAGGCAGCAGUGGGGAAUAUUGGACAAUGGGCGAAAGCCUGAUCCAGCAAUGCCGCGUGUGUGAAGAAGGUCUUCGGAUUGUAAAGCACUUUCGACGGGGACGAUGAUGACGGUACCCGUAGAAGAAGCCCCGGCUAACUUCGUGCCAGCAGCCGC
rnacentral:rRNA from 1 species